rnacentral:tRNA from 1 species
GUGGUUGUGGCUCAGCGGUAGAGUGCUCGCCUAGUAUAUGCGAGGCGCUGGGUUCAAUCCUCAGCACCACA